GAUCCUGGCUCAGAUUGAACGCUGGCGGCAGGCCUAACACAUGCAAGUCGAACGGUAGCACAGAGGAGCUUGCUCCUUGGGUGACGAGUGGCGGACGGGUGAGUAAUGUCUGGGAAACUGCCUGAUGGAGGGGGAUAACUACUGGAAGCGGUAGCUAAUACCGCAUAACGUCGCAAGACCAAAGAGGGGGACCUUCGGGCCUCUUGCCAUCGGAUGUGCCCAGAUGGGAUUAG
rnacentral:rRNA from 1 species